rnacentral:rRNA from 1 species
AGUGAACGCUGGCGGUAGGCCUAACACAUGCAAGUCGAACGGCAGCACAGUAAUAGCUUGCUCUUACGGGUGGCGAGUGGCGGACGGGUGAGGAAUACAUCGGAAUCUACUUUUUCGUGGGGGAUAACGUAGGGAAACUUACGCUAAUACCGCAUACGACCUACGGGUGAAAGCAGGGGAUCUUCGGACCUUGCGCGAUUGAAUGAGCCGAUGUCGGAUUAGCUAGUUGGCGGGGUAAAGGCCCACCAAGGCGACGAUCCGUAGCUGGUCUGAGAGGAUGAUCAGCCACACUGGAACUGAGACACGGUCCAGACUCCUACGGGAGGCAGCAGUGGGGAAUAUUGGACAAUGGGCGCAAGCCUGAUCCAGCCAUACCGCGUGGGUGAAGAAGGCCUUCGGAUUGUAAAGCCCUUUUGUUGGGUAAGAAAAGCAGCAGGUUAAUACCGCGCUGUUCUGACGGUACCAAAAGAAUAAGCACCGGCUAACUUCGUG